AUGCCCACUGCAUCUAAACCAGACCAGUCUUCAGCUAUAGGAAGAGGUGCUAAUGGACUGUGCAAAAUGAGCCAAUGUUUUCCAAGUUCUCGAACUGGCCAAUCCCUUUAUGAAGCAGAUGGUCCAACAAGACUACCAAAGAUCCAAUGCAAAUUAAUAAAAGUAACAGUCAUAGAAGCUGAGAUUGAGAAAUUCCGUAAGUCGAAACUGAAGAAAACAGAAACGCAAGAGAAAAAUCCACUGGCUUCAAAAGAAACGAUUGAACGGGAGAAGCAAGCAGGCGAGUCAUAAGGAGGCGUGCGCCGCCAAUAUGCACUGUACAUUCCACAAGCAUUGCCUUCUUAUUUUACUUUUAGCUGUUUAACUUUGUAAGAUGCAAAGAGGUCGGAUCAAAUUUAAAUGACUGUGCUGCCCCUUUUCACAUCAAAGAAUGGAGAACUACUGACAGCGAAGGCGGUGCCUGCCUCUCCCAUCUGCCCGCCUGUCUGGCUGGCAGGGAAAGAAAAGAACUUGCAUGUUGGUGAAGGAGGAGGCUGGGUGGGACGACAGUGAAAUCUAGAGUAAAGAGCAAGCUGGUCCACGGUGUCCUGCGGCCUGUAAAAUGCAGUUUAAUCAGAGUGCCAUUUUUUGGUUGUUGUUCAAAUGAUUUUAAUCAUUGGAAUGCACAAUUUUUUUAAUAUGCAAAUUAAAAGUUUUAAAGCCUGAAAAAAAAA